AUCAGCUGAUGGAAAUCAUAAACUAAUCCAAAACUAACUUGAAUCUAAUCUUAAUUAGUUUGAAAAAAAUAAAGAAAUCAACAGCAAAAUUGAGAGAUCGAACAAUGAAGAAGUGAGAUAAUCACCUUCGGGGAAUUGAGAAGUGAGAACAAUGGAGAUGUGAAAAUGAUAGGUAAUUGUCAGAUCCUUGUUUAAUUAAAAAGUUAUUGAGAGGGAGAGCUGUGAUCUUCUAAACGCCUUCUUCUCCAUUUUUUUCAAAUGAAAUCAAUUUUAGUGGACUAAUAAUAAUUUAAUUAACCACCGUGUUCAAGUUCGGGCUUUUAAUUAGGUAGUGCCAGUGCAUAAUUUAAUUAGCCACUAAUUUAUUUUUAAACAUAUCACUAACAUCAGGUCUAACUUGAGAAGAUUUAUCAUUAAUUAUGCCUUGUAUAAUUGUAUUUCUGACCAGUGUAUUAUUUAUUAGCGACAACAAUUUGCUCUUGAAAAAACUAAUAGUUUUUUUUAAUGUUUUUCCGACAUUUCCUUUUCACCUUUGUAAAAAGUACUUAGUACCAAAGGCAAAUAAAAGCCUCGGAAAUAUUUCGUCGGUAAUAUUAUUAUUUGUUGUAGUGAUUACGCUUAGAUAUAUUUUUUUAUAAUUUUUUUAAAAAUAAAAAUAAUAGAGUAGAGGUAAAAACUUUAUUUUAUAAUUAAUUUUAAGGAUAAAAAUAUCAUUUUACAGCUAUUAUAGGAGUAGAAACACCAUUUUUAAUUAUUUCUAGAGGUAAAAAUAUUAUUUUAUAAUUAAUUUACUAUUUCCGUUAAAGUUAACAACAACGUUAAUAGAUUCUCACCUACUCAAAUACUUUUAGAGAAAGUGUCACCUUUUUUAAAUUUAUCAAAAUAUGUGUUAUCGAAGGAUAAUUAAUCAUUUUUUAAUCCAACCUCUAACUUAGUGGCUGAUCAAAUAAAAUUGUUUAAAAAUGACUUGCGCCUCUGGAAAAAGAAAAUAUAAUUUAAGCAUAGUAGUAGUAUUUUCCUGAUAAUCCAACACUCAGCAUGCAUGGUUUUGAAUGUACACUCAAAUAAAUUCAGUAAUUAGAAUCCAAACAGAAAAUAAUAUGUUAGUUACCUUAAUUUCAGCCACAUUGUGCACUCAGAUAAGGAACAUUGUUAUUAAAUUCUCCAGCAGCUGCAGCAUGUGCUACUUUACUCUUCAAUUUGAUGGCAGAGUCCAUAGUCCCCAUAUAUCAACUAAGAAAUUCAACAAGGAAAACAAAAAUUGGACAAAGCUUGAAAGUCCACAGUCCCUGUGUACCUCCACAGUCUCUGUAUACUUGAAAGGAAAGUUUUUCAGAGGUUUUAUAUUACAUAUAGGUGUUACCAUGAAAGCAAAUAAACAGUGGCAGCACAUGCUAUGUAAAAUUAAAUUCAAUAACGAGCAAAAUACAAACUAAAAAGGGAGUAGUAGCUAGGCCUGCUCUCUGAUUCAAUAUUUUUUUCUUUUGGUUGUUAUUCUCUUAUUCUUCCCUACUGGAUUUGAUUCUUAAUUAGUUUCUAAAAAUCAAGAAUGAGCUGCCGCUCUUGAUUCUCGAGUCAUCUUAAUCAGCUUAUGCUAUGUCAUAUCCUUUUUGCUUUAAUUAUGCCAUACUAUUAAUUAAUAACACGAGAUGAUAAACAUGCAUGGAUUGAUAAUUAAUUCACAUGAUUCAUGAUCAACGAAAUGGAAUAAUCAAUAUUGUUUCUGAAAAAAGAAAAUUAAAUAAAUACAAAAAUGAUGCUGCCAAGUUGUAAUUAUACACUAGGAUUAUAGUCUCCAUGAACCUGAUAGUUUAAUAUCUACUGACUAAGCCCCAACUGUAUUUAAAUAACAUUCCUUUUUCUAUCAGGCAUUUCAACAAACAGCUUGAAGACUGCAUUGAAAUCAGAAAGAGACUCAAAAUAAGUAAAUUGAUGCUUUUGAAAUUACAUGAAAAUUGGACCUUGAUCGGCUAUUUUAAUGACCUGUUUGAAUUUGGAUCGUUCGAUGUGUCUGUUGGGCAACGUGAAGAGAUCUCUGAUUAGAACCCUAAAAUGCAUCAGCUGAUGGAAAUCAUAAACUAAUCCAAAACUAACUUGAAUCUAAUCUUAAUUAGUUUGAAAAAAAUAAAGAAAUCAACAGCAAAAUUGAGAGAUCGAACAAUGAAGAAGUGAGAUAAUCACCUUCGGGGAAUUGAGAAGUGAGAACAAUGGAGAUGUGAAAAUGAUAGGUAAUUGUCAGAUCCUUGUUUAAUUAAAAAGUUAUUGAGAGGGAGAGCUGUGAUCUUCUAAACGCCUUCUUCUCCAUUUUUUUCAAAUGAAAUCAAU
rnacentral:lncRNA from 1 species